UGACGAUAGAGUCUCUGAGCUCUCAUUAUUCUGCCCCUGACUUAUUUUAUGAAAACUGGCAAGUCACUUACUCACUUUCUGCCUCCACAUCCGAAAAAUAAGUUGGAUAACUAUUGUCAACAAACAUAGCAUGCUCUUCGUCUGCUGUGCAUCAGAGUGCUCUUCGCCCCACGGGGGAGGCACAAAAUCAAAAGACAGAGAAUAACUCAGCAGUCGAUAAUAUUCUUCAUGUAAAUACAUCGUCUGUAGAUCGUGUCUUCAGAACAAUGAUGUAAAUACCAGAGGCUUUUCUAAUACUGAGAUCAGGGAUCGGGAUCAACUUUAUUCUUUACCUUAUUGCUUUUCAGACAGGGGCUAACGAAGCUUCUUUCCUUCCCAGUUUUCUGCUGGUCCCUACAGCCAGACUUCCACUACACUGGUGUGGGGUCCCAAGGCUGCCUGCCUUCCCUGAGCAAUAAAUGCUGCACUUGAGAGUGAUCUCAGCGUGGAAACUGACAGAAACCAGGAGAUCACCCAGAAAAUGAGUGAAAUCUCUUCAGUUAUGCCACUUCGGAAGGAGGAGCUUAAAUUCCCCCCAUCAAAAUCGCUGAGCCAUAGCAAAGCAACCCUGGAGACUUCCAUUCUAACAAUGCCAGUAUUCCAAAAGAAGUUUCUUAUGCCUUGUUCUUGUGAGCAGAACCAUUUUCUUCUUUGAUUACACCGAGAAGAACCUUCCUUUCAUCAAUUAUUCUUUUGCUACUCUUUGCAGGUUCAUCACCAGCCUCUACCAGUAGUAAUAAUCACAACAUUCAAUCUGUGCCCGAGUGGAAAAUCUCAGUGCUUAAGGUUACCAUGUCAUUGCCUGCAGUCUAAAGGCAUGCUCAUUGGCGAGCUGGACACACACCCUGAGAGGCGAGAUGUUUCCACCUCAUUAUGUUGAACAGCAGGAAUUCUAAAUUCUGUCAGAAAAUAGGUCAAUGUUGGGGGGCACAGAAGGGCCCUACAAAUGAAACCAUCUGGCUGUUGAUAAAGAAAAAUGUCUGUACUAUCACUGAAGGCACAGCACUGUGUAUGGAAAGUGGGUAAUUAAUCAUUUUUGCACACUGGCAUUUCUAUAUGAUGAAAUAUCUACCAGCGAUGAGAUUUUACAUUCUAUUUUAUAAUUUACAUUGAGUAAAAAUUAAUUUUUAAAAAAGAUUUUAUGUAUUUACUUGAGA
rnacentral:lncRNA from 1 species